CCCUUAGAUGUCCUGGGCUGCACGCGCGCUACACUGACGGAGGCAGCGAGCGUGUCCUUCGCCGGCAGGUGCGGGCAAUCUUGCGAGUCUCCGUCGUGCUGGGGAUAGAUGGUUGCAAUUGUCGAUCUUGAACGAGGAAUUCCUAGUAAGCGCGAGUCAUCAGCUCGCGCUGAUUACGUCCCUGCCCUUUGUACACACCGCCCGUCGCUACUACAGAGUGCCCGUGUCCAAGAAACGGUCGGACCUGUGCGGCCUCUCCGGGCGACCGGAGGGCCGUUACGGGGAAGACCCUUUAUUUGACGCGGGUCGAUGAAGUAAAAGUCGUAACA
rnacentral:rRNA from 1 species